GUGGGGAAUAUUGGGCAAUGGGGGAAACCCUGACCCAGCGACGCCGCGUGGGUGAAGAAAUCAUUAGGGAUGUAAAGCCCUGUUGUAUGGGAAGAGCGGAAGACGGUACCAUACGAGGAAGCCCCGGCAAACUACGUGCCAGCAGCCGCGGUAAUACGUAGGGGGCAAGCGUUGUCCGGAAUUACUGGGCGUACAGCGCAGGCAGGCUGACUUAUAAGUCGGUCGUCAAAGGCGGAGGCUCAACCUCUGUAUAUCUAUCGAUACUGUAAAGCGGGAGUAGGUGAGAGGGAAGCGGAAUUCCCGGUGUAGCGGUGGAAUGCGUAGAUAUCGGUAGGAACACCAGUGGCGAAGGCGGCUUCCGGGCACAAUACUGACGCUCAUGUGCGAAAGCUAGGGCAGCGAACGGGAUUAGAAACCCUGGUAGUCC
rnacentral:rRNA from 1 species